rnacentral:rRNA from 1 species
CCGUAGCCCAAGAGAUCGGGAUAACACCUGGAAACAGAUGCUAAUACCGGAUAACAACAGAUGAUGCCUAUCAACUGUUUAAAAGAUGGUUCUGCUAUCACUCUUGGAUGGACCUGCGGUGCAUUAGCUAGUUGGUAGGGUAACGGCCUACCAAGGCGAUGAUGCAUAGCCGAGUUGAGAGACUGAUCGGCCACAUUGGGACUGAGACACGGCCCAAACUCCUACGAGAGGCAGCAGGG